rnacentral:lncRNA from 1 species
AAUAUAUUUUGGGAUAAAAUCAUCUCUUAUUUUAUUCAAUGUAUUGCACUAUUUUAUAAUACAUGGUUCUCCCUUAACUUUAGGAGUUGUUACAAAUCAGAGCAUAUAAUUAGGAAAGAACAAUAACAGUAACAAAUCUAAUCUAGGCACAACAAAUUAGCAAUCAACAUUAAAUGUGAUAGCAAUCAACAUUAAAUGAGAGAUUUUCACGUUGAACCUUGAUACGUUGAACCUAGACCUUUAUUUUCCAACACUCCCCCU